rnacentral:lncRNA from 1 species
UUCAACUCUUUGGCAUAUAUCUUUGCAAUAUAUAUAGCCUACCUUUGGCACUCCAGAGACUUGAGCCAAAGAGCUGAUGAUACAUAUUGUGUAUCUUUUUCAGAGAGAUAGAGAGCAGAGUGUGUGUGUGUGAAUUCAAGAUCAAGAAAUCAAGAAAGAUGGUGAGAGCUCCUUGCUGUGAGAAGAUGGGUUUAAAGAAAGGGCCA